rnacentral:lncRNA from 10 species
AGAACUGCAGAUAGUACAGCUUCCACAGGAGCAAGGGAUGUCUGAGCACAAGUGGCUGAGUUCCGAGUGACUUUAUGAAGCACUUUCUACCUUCCUCUCCGGCAUGAAAACAGGGAUUCUGCACCUGCAUCAUGGACAGUCUGGCAAAAGCCUCUGCUCUGCCUCCGGGGACAAGAAACUAGAGCAAAUAACCGUUUUGAAAUUGUAAGUAUACCUUUCUUUCCGUCAAGUGUACUGAUUAAAAUAGUUUUAUGUCAUAAA